AAACGCCCAACUUUCGAGAUGAUUUUUUGACCUCAGGCCUAGUUACUCAAUCAUCAUCAUCCUCACCAUCACCACCCUCAACCUCAUCCUCCUCGGAGAGUGCCCAGAGGGUAUGACUGCACAGUUGCUUCCUGAGACUCCAACCAUUGGCCACCAAGCUGCUCCACUUUGCUCCAGCUGAUAACAUCAUGUCUGGUUUGGACCGGGCAAGGCUCAAGCAUGCCAGGUUCUGGUACUUCUCCAACCUCACUUCCUGUCCCAUUCAGAUUGUUUUCUCCUGAGGUGCAAGAUUCAACAGUACAUUACUUACGCCUCAUUCUGCAGCAUUUGGAAAAAGCAGUUAGCAUGAGUUUUUUUCAACUAUCCCCAAAUGAAGACUCAAGCAAUAAGAAAUACCUCCAGGGCAUAAUCCUUCCUUCAGAACCAUUUAUCAUCUUUGAUGAAGUGAACCCUGACAAGGGUAAAAAUGAAGAGCCUUUGGUUACUGAUCCUAAUAAUUCAGAUGCAUAUUCUGAAGUACUGUUGGACCCUAAUAAACUGUAUAAUGUACUGCAGAAGGCAAAGCAGCAUAAAUUUCGUCAAGAAUUCGUCUUGUUAAGUGAACUUAUAGAUCUGUUGUUCAGUCCUCGGGAGCUGGCAGAAGCCUAUGGAUUGGGCCUGAAAGGGAAGGAUGCAAGAAAAUGGACUCUUGACAAAGUUAAAAUGUCAGCUUGUGAAGAAUAUAUGAGGUACAUUUGCUCUACAGAAGGUUGGAAAGUACCAAGUCAGAAGGAUUUCCAUAAAAUUUUCACAACAAAGAUAGAAAAUGCCCGGUGGAAUCUAAAACACAGCAUAUAGAAAACCUCCUGAAGAUGCACCCUUCUUUCUUCCCAUCAUUCUACUCUGUAACACGUUAGCCCAAAAGAAAUUUAGAUAAUUAAAUAAAAGGAAGGUUCCAGGCUGUAAUUUCAUACUCUGCAAAUAGAAAGACAAAUGUAUACUCUCUCAAAUAUUCUAUAAUAUGAUCCAAAAUGUACACGCAUAAGACAAGUCAUAUAGCCUCCUGAGUCAACAUUUCCUUAUAACAUCGUUAAUAAAGUUCAACCAUACUUAAUGUGAUAUAAUAUCUAAGAGUACUAACCUUGGAAAUCAGGAAGAUCUGAAUUCAAGUUCUCCCUCUCCCUUUCACACAAGUUGUGUGACACUGGGCAACUGUCUUAAGCUUUUAGGGACAAGGCAAUUUGUCACUAUACUAUGUCAUUUAGUGAUUUCAUCAGAUCUCAUGGAUUCAAUUAUCAUGUCUAUGCAGACUUUAUCUAGUCCUACUUUCUCCUUCACCUUCAAUUUUGUAUUUUCAACCACCUAUUGGAUAUAUCAAAAUGAUUGCCACAUACAC
rnacentral:lncRNA from 1 species